GACCACUCUGGUGGCCUAGUGGUUAGAGCGUCCGCCUUGGAUGCGGGAGGUCAUGGGAUCGAACUCCAGCUGUGUCC